rnacentral:rRNA from 1 species
CCUACGGGUGGCUGCAGUGGGGAAUAUUGGACAAUGGGGGCAACCCUGAUCCAGCCAUGCCGCGUGUGUGAAGAAGGCCCUCGGGUUGUAAAGCACUUUCAGUGAGGAAGAACGCCUGGUGGUUAAUACCCAUCAGGAAAGACAUCACUCACAGAAGAAGCACCGGCUAACUCCGUGCCAGCAGCCGCGGUAAUACGGAGGGUGCGAGCGUUAAUCGGAAUUACUGGGCGUAAAGCGCGCGUAGGUGACUUGAUAAGCCGGUUGUGAAAGCCCCGGGCUCAACCUGGGAACGGCAUCCGGAACUGUCAAGCUAGAGUGCAGGAGAGGAAGGUAGAAUUCCCGGUGUAGCGGUGAAAUGCGUAGAGAUCGGGAGGAAUACCAGUGGCGAAGGCGGCCUUCUGGACUGACACUGACACUGAGGUGCGAAAGCGUGGGUAGCAAACAGGAUUAGAUACCCCAGUAGUC